UAACAGUUGUCAGCAUCACAGGGACAGAUUAUUUUUAAAAUAGAUCUUUCAGGAGAAAAAAAAAUGAGAUGAAAAAAAAAUGCAUCUCCAAAGAGCUGAGAAGUAAUGCAUGUGCAGCUUUGGAUAAUAGAAGCUCUUACUGGAAUGAAGGACCACAAUUGUAGGAAAUAGAUCUGCUUUUUGAAAGCGAGAGAUGAUAGCUACAAGAAGUUGGAGACAUGGAGAUGAACAUGGAUGGAUUUUGCAUGAAAGUUUGCAAAAAUGAAAUGUUAAGAAGUCAACAUUGUUAAUCGUAAACACAUAUACACAUGAGCAACACUAAAGGAACUCAUGAACAGUCCUUGGUUGGAGUAUCAGUCUCAGAAAAGACCCCUGUGCCCAAAUAUAUUUGGUCCUUGUGGAGCUUCAGUCCUCUCCAGCUCUUACUAACUCCCCCUUCUUUCAUAAGAUUCCCUACAUUCUGCCCAAGUUUGGCUAUGGGCGUCAGCAUCUGCUUUGAUACCCUGUUGGACAGAGUCUUUUAGAGUUCCUCUGUGCAGUGUAUGACCUUAAUGGAAAAGAAGAGGAAAGAAAGCCAUGAGAGAAAACAACAAGAGUGGAAGGAUUUUAUUUUUCAUAACAAUCCUAUCCAGAAGCAAAUAAAUAAACAAUACAAUGCAAGUCUUUUCUGGGUUUCUUGAGCACUGAAGAGAGGGAUUUGAUGAAGACCUUCAAUUUUGACUCUAUUUAAUGUCUGGAUGUUGGUCUCUAUCUGUUUUCAUCUGCUGCCAGAGGAAGCCUCUCUGAUGAUGACUGGAAAAGGAAGAUCCAUAUGUGUUCCCCUAAGACCCUUCCUCUACACCUCACUUUUCUGGAUCUAUGGACUGUAGCUUGGCUUUCAUUUAUCUAAAGGCUAUUAUCCACAUGUAAUUCGAUGCAUGACAGAGGAGACGAAGGCACUUCUGUGUGUAUGCCACCAUGAACAUGUCCGAUCUCAUUUGUCCAUGGAUGCUAACCAGAGUCAGACCUGGUUCCUGUUUGGAUGAGUGAUGAAGGAUUCCCUGCACUCUGCCUAAAGUUCGGCCAUGAGACUCAGCAUCUGCUUCAAUACCCAGCUUUGUAAAGUUUCUCUGUGGAGUACUAUGCAAGAUCCAUUUUGUCAGUGGAUUUUCCUUGGAUUUAUUCAUCUUUGAAUAAAUGAAGUUCUACCUGAGUCUGAUCUUUAAAAAAUAUGAACAAACAGAGAAACAAAAAACUAAACAAAGAAGAGAAACCAUGGUUUGAGUUGGCCUCAUCGCUUUCUUUGAUUAUCUGGACAGUUUUUAAUGUUUCUUCAAAGAUAGCUAACUAAGUAGCUUCAGAUAUCAUAAUUUAUAUUUGUAUCCAAUUAUCCUACUUGGAUUGGCAUGGAAGAGGAGAGUAAAUGAGACUGAAAAGAUAACUAACAGUCAGGGAAAUUGUAUCCUAUAGUAAUUAUCUCUGAUUCUGUGUAAACUGUUUGAAAAUUCACUUACUAUAGUUCAGGCAAAUUCAAGUCCCAUCCUGUCUGAUUGUGAAGUCCUUUUGAUCAUGCAUUUAGUUUCUUUAGUGCUAUGUCUGUGAAGUUACUUUUACAGAAACAAGUGGGUGUCCUUGGUCUGAAGAGCUAAGAAGCCAAGUAUUUUUCCUCAGAAACAAAGGAAAAAGGGAGUUAUCAUAACCAUCACCUUAAGAACCCAACAUCAAAUACUUUUCAUUUACUCCUGUUGUUUAACAGAAAAUUUCCAUGACUAAAAUUUAUCUCUCUCUUUCCUGAACUUGGCCAUCAUUUAAUUCAUACUCCUCAUUGUAUGAGUCUGCCACCAGAUAAAUACAUGCAACAUUAAUUUGUCAAUAUUUUAUAAAUCUAAAAUGUGUUAAAGUUGAUAAUUUAAAUACAACAAAUAAGGUAAACUAAUGAAAAACAGUGUGGACUAUUCUCAAUAAGUAAAGCAAACAAAUAGAAUUUACGGCUUACUGAUUUAAAAAUAAACAUAAUAUUACAUGAGAUUCCUAUACCAUCAAAACUAUGUUCAUCUUUCUACUUCAGAGACAUAAUAUUUCCCUAUGUAGGUACAUACUAUAUGACAGUUUUGAGUGGGAACAUAAUAUAAAGCUGUUUUGCUUAGUAGACCCAUGAUUCAAAUGAGAAACAAUAUUCUCAGCCCAUUAUAUUACUAUCUUACUUGUAAAUGAUUGGUCAGAGGGAUCCAAUUACACAACUUGUUUGAAGGAAUUUAGUAUACAUGUACCAUUUUCCCACUCAGUGCUAAUAUUAAGAGCAAAUUCAAACAUCAUUUCUAAAAAUUUCUUCAGAAAUUUAGGAAUUAUACAUAAACUCAUUAUAUGUUUAAAGUAUGUAAGAUUUAUCUUUCUUUUAAGAGAUCAUUAAGAUUCAUAUACAUUUUAUCUUAUAUUUUCAGAAAGUAAAGAACCAAUAUAUUACAAAUUGUAAUAUAUAUAUAUAUAUAUAUAUGUUACUUUAUAUAUAUAUACAUAUAUAUAUAUAUGUACUUUUUAUAUGAUAGGAAUGAAUAUAUUUUGGAGCAGAAAUUGGAUAUAUUAUGAUCGAGCUAUAAUUUUUGAUGGAGAGCUAGGUUUGGAGGAGUAAUAAAAAAGAUUAUAAAGCUGGUAGAAUUGGAGAAGGAAACCUUUGGAGAAGUCAUAUUUUUUUUUCUGAGUUUUGUUAAAAUGUUUGUGUUUGCAUCUUUGGGCAAAGAGCCUCUGUUCAUUGUGCUCUUUAAUAUGCACAAUGCAGAUCCAUGCAUUAUCGCAGUUGAGAGAAUUAAAAAUGUGCACAUCAAACUUAAUUGUCUAAACUCUCAUAGCUAUUUGCAUUACUCCUUACCAAAGAGAAUGAAACUUGAGUGCUAAACUAAACUGGAAAAGGAGAUAUUUAAAAUCAUCCAAUCACAGUUUAAUUGUUUAUUUUUGCUAAUGACCAUUACAAGGAAAGUCUGAAAAAGAGAUAAUGUAAGGAAAUAAAGGAAAAUAAAAUCUCUUUUCAGGGACAAAAGAUGAUGACAGUUUUUAAGGAUGCAUGUACAGACUAGAAUAUUGAUCUUACAAAGAUAUAGAAAGCUUGCUUGCUCCCUGAAAUGUUGCAUAUAUGUUUUUCUAUAUGGCCAAAAUCUGCAGAUUUUAUUAAUUUAAAGAUAUUUUCGAUGAGUUGUCCAAACACAGUCAAUUUAGUGGCUUGGAUUUUUUAAAUUUCCAAUUACAUUUAAUAGCUUAGAUUUUUGAAAUCAGUUAACUUUUUCUGUGUAUCUUGAGGCAUGAGAACCACUGAUGAUUAUUCUGAGAUGUAAUGUAAUAACUCUGACAUAGGAGAUGGAGAAAAGGGGCUUUGGCCUCUCCAUCGCAGAUGGCAUGUAGAAUAUGAGACUUUUCCCCACUGUCAUUGGAUUCUUUGCUACAGUUCUUGAAAGCAAUGAAGAUAACUAUGUUACAUGAAAGUGAGUCUUAAUGAUCUGAGACUAUGAUAUGAGAAGCUAGCAAAAAUAUAGUUAUUUUUUUGGUACCAUUAGAAGACAAAUGCAUAUGAUAGUCUUCAAAUAAAGAAACAAAAGACUUCCAAACAAACAUAAAUGGAACUAAACUGGAAAGCAUGACACUACAUGAAAUCCCAAAGUUCUGUCCAUUGCCAGCUGUUGCACUGUCUUCUACUUCUUUCUUCCGGGUUGGAGAAAGAAACUCCAUAUUCACACCAACUAUAAAAAGGGUAGAGAUAGAAUUAAACUUUGUAGACAUGACUGGGAGGAAGGACAUCAAAUUGUACAGGUAGACAGCUUAGUUCUUUCUGUCACAGAAUGUUACUGCGUCUACCACCCUUAUUGUUUCCUCUCUAUAGUAGAUGCCAUCAGCCUGUGAAAUUGUGAACACUGUCUCAUAUGUAUCAAACCCUUCUCUUUCGCAGAAUUUGUUAAAUAAUGACAAAGACAUUAUAUACAGGCCUCAUUUUUACCAAGUCGGGAAGCUGGAAAAAACCAAAAAAACAGAAAACAAAAAACGAAACCAGAACAGUGUUAAUGGAUUUUGUCAAGGAGACUUUUUUUUUCCUUUGUUUUGUUUGCUGGCUUUGUUACUGUAACAUCGCCUCUCCUCUUCUAAGCUAGACCAUCUCUUGUGCUACCAAAACACAGGAUGAAUGUAAGCAGUGAACUUCAAAUUCUGUGCCACAUUCUAAAAUAUCUUCUGAUUGACAACAACAAAAAGUUUUGUGUGCUCAUCUGAAGGAAAACUUUAUUUUUCUUUUUAAAUAUUGCAUUGAACAUAAAUUAUGCAAUAUAUAUAAAUUAUGUUUGUAGAUUAUCUUGUACACACUAUUCUGUUGUGUUUGUGUGUUGAAUUUUGGAGAAUAUUCUGUUCUUGAAAGUAAAAUUUAACCACCCUCUUUUCAGAGCAAGAUUAGUAUGUUUGCCUGUAACAGAAAAACAAACAACUGAACAAACAAACCCUUCUCUUCUGAGAGUCAUGAUUUCUGGAUUACCUUACUACAACCAUUCAUACUAGGAAAGGACAAAUGAUAGAGCAAUGACUGUUAAGAAACAAUAGACUGCAAAAAAUGGAACUGGAUCAGCAUAAAAGACUGGGGGUGAAAAACUGUGGGCCAUAAUAUAAAACCUUGGAAAGGAUAGAAGAUGGAAAUGCUCAAGUGUCCUUAAUAUUGACAUAAUGCUUGAGCAACGCAUAGGUAACUCUUAAAUUCAUACUGAUCAUGCAAUAAUGAACUUUUGAAUACCUUUCUUUCCCAUUAUUUCAUUUGAGCAUGUCACAGUAUAUUUGAAAGGACAAUUACAAAAUAAAAUCUGAAGAUUCUAAACCAUCGUAUUACUCACUGCUGUUUCUACCAGUUAGAUCAAGUCACAUUUAUGAAAUCAUUGUCUUGUGAGUCUCCUUUUGUAUUCACUGUUGUAAAAUGUCAUUGUCUCUGACACAGAUAACCCACUAAAUUAUAACUAUAGCUUUCAGUUAAAAAAAUGGACAAAAAUCCUGUACAAAACCACAGCUUUAUUCUCAAAGUAAAAAAAAAAAAUAAAUAAAUAAAUAAAAAGAUUUCAUUAAUGAUCAACAAUGAACAAGUUGUGGAGAGUGAGAAUGACUCAGAUGUUACCUGGCUACAUAGAAGUUGACACCAUAUGGUUUCAUAUUGACAGGGGAUUAACAAUUUGAGGAUUAUUAAUUUUUCUAUUAUAAAAAAGUACUUUUGUAAUUAAAUAAGGAAAACAUUUCCAUUCUAUAAAGCUAUAGAUGUAAUUGUAAAAUAAAACAAAGUGCAAGUCAAAAUUUCAGUAAUUGCCAAAAUGUGAAGCAAUAUCAGUGUAAUUUUGUUGUUGUUUAAAUCAUUGAAUUUUGUAUCUUCCUCCUUUUCCUAUUUGGAUUAUUUGAAAUGAAAGUAAUCACCAUCACAGGAAAUCUCUAUAAAAUGAAUCAUGUAAUGGUUAAUUUUAUAUGUUAGCAAUGUCUCAGCUUAUAAAUAUACUUUGAUUUAUCUUUAAGCAUGCUUCCAAGUUUUUGCAUAUGGAUCAGUAUGGACUUAGUUUAAAAUAAAAAUAAUUCAUUAUUCAGUGUGGACAUGUCUUAGCCAAUCUGUGUAGGUGCUCAAAAGAUCUCUUAGGGAGACCUUUGCUUGAAAAAGAUAAAUCUGCUUUCGCUUCUAGAUAUCUAACAUUUAUCUUCUUUUGCCUGGAGACACCAAUUCUCCUAAUUCUGGGAUUUUAGGAUUGAGACUGAAUUAUACCACUGUUGCUAACUAUUUAUUCAGAAUGCACUAGAGAUUUUAAUUUCAUUUGUUUUAUGUCUUUUAAAAUAGCAUGUAUAUUAAUUAUAAAAGAAUGUUAUAACUGUGAAAAUUGUGGACAUUUAUAAAAUACUUGAAAAUCCUCCAUUCCAUGCAUCCCCCUUUUACUCUGUUAGGAAUCCCUUUUUUAUGUCCAAAGAGUCCUCAUUCUACUUUCGUGUCUUAAAUCAAGGUUCCACAUACAAGAAAACAAAACAAAAACUGUUCUGUUUAUUUUUCUUAAUGUUCUGGCAAAAUAACUGUUUAAAAAAUUAAAGAGGAAAUAUUUUUGUUGAGCUCAUAACAUGAGAUUACAACCCAUGAAGUAGAAGUCCUGGCAGCAGGAACUUGAGAUUGCUAGUAACAUUCUGUCCUGUUAAGAAUCCAGAGCCAGAAAGAUGCACAUGGUAUGUACUCACUUAUAAAUGGAUAUUAGGCCUACAGUACAGGAUAACCAUACUUCAAUCCAUAAACCUAAAGAAGCUAAGUAACAUGGAGGGCCCAAGGCAGGGUCCUGGAAGGUCACUCAGAAGAGGAAAUAGAAUAGACAGCAGAAAUGAAUAAAGAGAGGGAACUGAGCAGGAGAUGGAAUGGGAGGGAAACAAGAGAGGGAUCAGAUG